CUCUGUAUUAAUACAGGGCGGAAGGAG
rnacentral:ncRNA from 1 species